UCCUGGGCUAUAUUAGUAAUGAGACCGCAUGCUUUUAUGUCUAUGUCAGCAACCGGGUGUUACGUAUCCGAAGAUCCUCCCGACCAGACCAGUGGCGCGACGUGCCUACAGACCUGAACCCUGCAAAUCACCCAACGCGUUCCGUUCCUGCUAGCCAACUGAAGCACACCAGCUGGCUUAAUGGUCCCAAAUUUCUCUCCAAGCCGGAGCCCAGCAAUUCUGAGAGCACUUACGACCUUGUUGACCCGAGCAUAAGAGCUGUGCACAUUGAAGUCAUUGAAUCCCUCGACACCUCUAGCUUCAUCAACGCGCUACAGCGCUUCCUUUCAGUGCGCGGGCCGGUCAAACAUUCGCUCUGACCACGGCACGAACUUCAUUGGCGCCUGUAAAGAACUGAAGAUAGCCUCAAACAUUAACAGCACUGAAGUGAAGACUUACCUCUCAGACAAGGGCUUCACCUGGUCCUUUAAUCCCCCACAUGCAUCCCAUUGUGGUGGAUCAUGGGAGAGAAUGAUAGGACUGGCGAGGAGAAUUCUGGACGCAAUGUUCCUCCAGCUGAAAGACAAGCUCACGAAGUGCUGGUGAAUUUCAUGGCAGAAGUCGCAGCGAUCAUCAACGCCAGGCCACUUGUUCCAGUGACUAUGGACCCUGAUGACUAGUUCAUUCUCUUGCAGCUGCUCUUCUCACACAAAAGACGAACAUUGGUCCUGCUCCUGCGGGUGAGUUUGGAGUUGCUGACCUCUACAAGUCCCAGUGGCGACAGGUUCAGCACCUGUCCAACACCUUCUGGGAUCGCUGGAGGAAGCAAUUUCUCCCAACACUGCAGGCCCGCAAGAAGUGGCAGUCCACUCAGCCAAACAUUCAGCCUGGGAGUGUUGUACUCCUUAAGAACAGUCAAGCACCUAGGAAUGAAUGGCCUCUUGGACUCAUUACACAGGCCUUCCCUAGCAACGAUGGGAAAGUGCGCCAGGUUGAGGUGAAGAUCAUCAAACCAGGUGGGACUAGCCUCUUUCUCAUGCCAGUCAAUGAAAUAGUUCCCCUUUUACCUCCAGAGGCACAGUAAAUGGACUGUUUAGUAAAUGGACUGUUUAGUAAAUGGACUGUUUUACAGGAAAGAAAAAAAAAAGAAAAAAAAAGAUGGGCUGUGCAUUGACUGUGGGGUGACGUGUAUCCACGUCAGGCGGGGAGUGUUUUGUUACGAGUAAAAGUUAAAUGUUACAGGUAAAAUAUAUGCAUUUCCUUGCAUGCAAUGCGUUUCUAUUCAGGAAGCGUUCCCUUUAAGACGCGCGGUUCCAAUCGGCCAAUCGCGUGACUCCAGGAAGUAAACUCGCAGUUGCGUCUAGCUGGUUCAGUGUUCCGUUCAAAUCUCUAAAAUUCAGAACAAUUUAAUCACAUCUGCCAAAUCUUGUGCUUUACAUAGCAUCGUUGUUUCACCUUUUCCCAUGUGCGUCCACUAAACCUGUGGAAGUGAGAAAUACGUCUGCAGAGUCUUGGUGUUUUGGGAAAGAGUUUAGCUGGCCGUCAGGGUAUUAGCAGACAUACCGAGGACGGCACAGCAGAACUCCUGCGAGGAGCCCCUCAUGUCGACGUAGCCUCCGUAGACGAACAUGGAGGAACCAAACACCACUGCACUGUGGCUCUUCCUGUUGGUCGGUAUCUGUGCACACAUUAGGUGGACCCAUUUGUUCUUCCCUGGAGAGUGAAAUGAAAAGAAAGAAGAGAAAAGAACUGAGCAGUGAAAACAGGGGUCUGGAGAUGGAAGCUAAGCAGCACUCAGCAGGGUAUUGUGUCAGGCUAAACACUUCACAAUUUGUGCUAUUUUGAUGCACGCUGGGAGCAUGGAUAUUGUGUCCUGCUAUUGUCUGAAUGUUUCCCAUUCUUUUUAAAUUGUGUUUCAGAGACAUUGUUUGGAGACAGGCUAGUCACUUAGGAUAAAAUGUAUAGAUAAAUUACCGGUAAGCGUUUUUUUCAGUUUUAGUGAAUAUCAUUGUAUGUUGCAUAUUUAAAACAUUGUCAUAAACUAGUGAACAACAACAAAAUGCAGCGCUUUACAACAUAUAAAGGAAUAACUGCACCACCAUGUAUUAAUAUUGAAAAAUUAUUCAAUUUUUACACUAUAUUGAAUAAUAAAGAAUGCUCAUACUGUGA